AGGAAGUGGGGAUGACGUCAAGUCAUCAUGGCCCUUACGAGUAGGGCUACACACGUGCUACAAUGGCAUAUACAAAGAGAAGCGAACUCGCGAGAGCAAGCGGACCUCAUAAAGUAUGUCGUAGUCCGGAUUGGAGUCUGCAACUCGACUCCAUGAAGUCGGAAUCGCUAGUAAUCGUAGAUCCAGAAUGCUACGGUGAAUAUGUUCCCGGGCCUU
rnacentral:rRNA from 1 species